UACGAAGGGUGCAACCGUUGCUCGGAAUUAUUGGGCGUAAAGCGCACGUAGGCGGCUUAGCAAGUCGGAUGUGAAAUCCCUCGGCUCAACCAAGGAAGUGCAUCCGAAACUGCUGAGCUUGAGUACGAAAGAGGAUCGCGGAAUUCCCGGUGUAGAGGUGAUAUUCGUAGAUAUCGGGAGGAACACCAGUGGCGAAGGCGGCGAUCUGGGUCGAUACUGACGCUGAGGUGCGAAAGCGUGGGGAGCGAACAGG
rnacentral:rRNA from 1 species